UACAGAGGUCCCAAGCGUUGUUCGGAUUUACUGGGCGUAAAGGGUGCGUAGGCGGCGCGGUAAGUCGGGUGUGAAAUCUCGGAGCUUAACUCCGAAACUGCAUUCGAUACUGCCGUGCUUGAGGACUGGAGAGGAGACUGGAAUUUACGGUGUAGCGGUGAAAUGCGUAGAUAUCGUAAGGAAGACCAGUGGCGAAGGCGGGUCUCUGGACAGUUCCUGACGCUGAGGCACGAAGGCCAGGGGAGCAAACGGG
rnacentral:rRNA from 1 species